AUGACAUCACAGUGACAAAGAUUCAGUCGUGUAUUUGAAAGUGUUAGGGCAUGAGAGUGAAAGUGAAAACGCUGUAUUCACUGCAUGUCUGUCUUUGAAUCAGUGUAUCUCUUGAGCUGUCCAAAUAUUCUGCUUCUCACACUGGCCAACUGAAGGGAGGGGGCCUUCACUGAGCUUCCCAAACAGACAAGAAGUGUUAUCUAUAUUCCUGGAGCUACGACUUUGGUGCCAACUCAGCUUAGGCCUGGUACAUAAUUCAAUCUUCUCAGAUAACGCUGAACAAGCAUAGCAAGCAUGAGGCAGUGUUUGGAUGCUUUUCCUCAAUGGACGUUGCUUUGGACAGGGACAUUGAGCAUCUGCUAGAAAGGAAGACAUCAUUUGCUGGUGUUGUCUACAGUAGCUACAGACAUCUUUCUGGUCUCUAGGCACAGACUAGUGGGCCUGGCUUGGUCUUCUCUGGAGCCCCUCUGCAAAUCGGGGUCAACAGCUGCACACUUCUCAGCCUGUUGCAAGCCCUCUGCUCGCAGCCCAGACCCCAGAAGGAAGUCAAGUCCUUCGCAGAUUCUCAAUGGGAAGAAGAGCUCGGAGUACUUCUACCUUACAAAAUGCUUGGUUGGAGUUCCCUGCUUCCUCAUCACACCAACUCAGACUUUAACGAUCGUCCUUUGUUGCUUCUUACCCUCCCUGCCAAGAUUUUAAUAAGACCGACCAAAUCCAAGGGUAGCUUCCACAUCACAAAUGCCAUCUUCACACUAAAGAUGGUCAGAAGUGAAUUUUUGUUAAAUAAAUACAUUUGGGUUUGCUGUAACUGCCGAUGCAUUUGAUACUAAGGGAUGGAUUAAGUCCUGUCUGAGUGGAACCGUAUUGUGACAAUUGUUCCAUGGCAUUUCUUCUAUUUACUAUAAAAACUGUUUGCUUGCAUCUAGGGAUGGGCUAAGUAGCCAUGCAAGGAUAUUAAUUCUAUGUAGAAAAUCCAUGGUGCUUCCCUUCUCUUCUGCAGUUGAAAACUCUCUCUCCUUUCCCACUCUGUAGCCUUGUUUCCACCAUUUGGCUGAAGGGCUCAUGCUGGUAUGUCACCUGAGCCAGCUUGUGGUAGGUCUCGUUGUAUAGUCUGCCCAGUAGCAAAAGGGAAUCCCAAAGUCAUGCAACAAACCUUCCCGGGGAAAGCUGGAGUUGCUGGGGAAAGCUAGAGUUGCCCAUAAAAUCAGGUUUUAUUUAUUGACCAAUCAGAGCAACUUGACAUACAGACCAUCCCCCAGCACAGCCAAGUGCAGAGCAUCUCAGACACCUGCACUCAGGCCCGUGGUCCUAAUCAUCCUCUAUGCAGACCUGCUGGGUAAAGCCACGAGGAACCAAUGGGAGUUGCCCAUUGACUGCUGUUGAGUGACUGAAUAACCUUUACUCUUCUCAAUCACGGUGCUGGCUUCUCCUCUCUCCCUUCCUCAAACUAAUGCCCAUUCAUCGGCUGGAUCAUUCACUUAUGUGUGUUAAUUCAACUCUGUCCUACAUGAAAAAUGGUGACAAAGUGUCAGGACUACACAUGAGACAAUGUUAUACAUAACUGCUGUAAGCAACAGCAUUUUCUCCCCUGGUAAAUACCAGUCCCUAAGGGAAAGCAGCUUGAGCCAUUCCCUGUGAAAUCCAGGCUCUCUUUACUCUGGCUGUCUGGGCCAGGUGUUGUUCAUGAUUAAUCAGCUAGAUAUAAAGAAAUGAUAAAAAGAAAACAAAGGCUACAGAGACGCUGGAGCUUCUUCCUGCCUGCCUAAUCUGAGAAGGAAGAAGAGGACUUUCUAUUAUGUAUCCACAGUCCUCAGGCAGCAGAAUCAGAGCCCUGGCUUCCUCUAGGACAGAGCAGACCUGUUAACAGCAGACUUCAGAAUGACAAAAGUGGGUGUGGCCUCUGGACUGUCUACAGGGUCCACUGUGGUCAUCACAGGAGCCUGAGAAUACUGCUUUAUAACCUCGGUGGAAAUAAGCCAUUCAGUCCUCUGCAGGUCGUCCAUCAAUGCCAGGCAACAGAAGUCGGACAACAUAAAAGGCACAUAGCUUGCAGACACCGGCGAGGGCGACUCAUCAACCACAGGCCAUGGGGAGGCAGACAUGCACCACCUGUGCACCAGAGACCCUGGGGGACCUGGAGCACAUGAGCCUUCCCAUGGGUUGAACUGCUGUGUAGCCCCUACGUUCCUUCCUCCUGCCUUCCGACUUCUGAGAAUCAGGACCUUCAUCAGUACCUCUCCUCCUUUCUGAAACAUGAUGACUAAAAUACACGCGAUUGGGAACACAGAUGAAGAUGAGAGUAGAAAGAUUGUAAGAGUCAGAGGACCAGGAUGCCUGCGGCAAAGACUCUUCUGUAUACACCAGGGCAGCUGCACUCAUGGAAUCUUAACAAUCUGGUUGCCUCAACAAGACCUGUGCAGUCCCAACACCAGCCAGCAUGGAUAGGGGAAGUAGCACAGGUACGCACGCCGGAGCGAAGGGCUACUGGUAGUCAGUGACUGCCUUUAGAAGGAGAAUCAGUCUUCUCCAGGGACGAGUCUGCUCAAGGUUAUCCAGUCUCAAGUAGUCAGCCCUAAAUACAUAAACAUAUGAACAGCACUAGAUGGACUCAGUGGGGACUCUGUCUCUGUGUGUGUGUGUGUGUGUGUGUGUGUGUGUGUGUGUGUGUGUGUGUGUGUAAUAAUUUGAAAUGGAGUGGGGAAGACAGAGAAAAGUUAAGGGAGAGAAAAGUAGGGGUGGAAACACAGUACUCACACAUGAAAAUCUCAAGAACUGAAAAAUAAAUUCAUUUACUCAUGAA